GUGUCAGCAGCCGCGGUAAUACGAAGGACCCGAGCGUUAUCCGGAUUUAUUGGGUUUAAAGGGUGCGUAGGCGUCCCUAUAAGUUACGGUUGAAAUCUCCUCGCUCAACGAGGAAACUGGCCGUAAAACUGUAGGGAUUGAGUACACUUGAAGCGGGCGGAAUGUGUCAUGUAGCGGUGAAAUGCUUAGAUAUGACACAGAACACCGAUUGCGAAGGCAGCUCGCUAAAUUGUAACUGACGCUGAGGCACGAAAGCGUGGGGAUCAAACAGGAUUAGAAACCCGCGUAGUCC
rnacentral:rRNA from 1 species